ACUCUGAAAGGAGCGUCUACAUAAAAUGUUUAAUCGAUGUAUGGAUUUAGACAAGCUUUCGGCUGAAAGGAAAUGGGACGAGGUAUUCCAUUGCCUUAAAAUCGAUGUAAACUCCACCAUAGAGCUGGGCAGUAUUAAAGAUAACAAAAACACCGAUAAGUGGUUGGACGAUUAUAAAGGGACAAUGAACUCAUUAGAAGUAAUUCUAGCUCUUAUUCUGUUUUUCGACCAAAUGUUCUAUAUCCUACUUUUGUGGUAUUUAAUUUGUUUUACAAUCAAAUUUAUACGUUUUCGCGGACUAAAACAUGUUGGAAAUGGGCGCAGAAAAUUUAUUCCUUGGAAGGGAAAAUUAAAAUGCUAAUCAAAAGGAAACCGGUUAUGAGUAAAAAGAAAACCAUAACUUUUGCAAAAGGCUCAUUUGAAAAUUAUAAAUGAUAUUGAUACACAUACUUGUAUAUUAUUUAAGGAAGUAACUAUAUAAAUAAAUUUAAAUUAUAAAAAACAUCAAA